rnacentral:lncRNA from 1 species
AAUUCCUAAAACCACAAGAUUUUACGGUGAUUAAAUUUCUUGUUGUGUGAUCAAAACGUUUAUGGCUUUAAACCGCAUAACUUGCACAAUUCGCCUGAAAGUGUACCCCAGCAGCAGUGGACAUUUUGCUCAAAGGAGCACUAAAACUAAAUAUAAAUAUGUACACAUGUAUGUACAUUAUAUGUAUUGUCUAAUGUACCACAGAGCGCAUAAUAUUAGCCGUCUCAAUUUUGCAAAUCAAAGCGCUUUUCUAGUUUCCAUUAUUGGUUCUAUUAAUACAACAGCAAAAGCAACAAAAAGCACUCCGCGGAUGGAAACUGAUGUGCUUAAUA